GCUUACGGCCACACCGGCCUUAGUACCCCUGAUCUCGUCCGAUCUCGGAAGCUAAGCAGGGUCGGGCCUGGUUAGUACUUGGAUGGGAGACCGCCUGGGAAUACCAGGUGCUGUAAGCU
ensembl:rRNA 5S_rRNA 5S ribosomal RNA